rnacentral:lncRNA from 1 species
ACACAUCAAAUUAUAGAGUAUUCUCCUAGUAUACCACGUGUUCCUACCAAACUCCUAAUUUUGCACUAUGUUUUUGGGCUUCAUUUACUUCAAGCCUCCCACCGAUGUUGUGCAAAUUCAGCACGAGGAGAAGCUCCGAGAGUUGGCGCUAAGGCUAGAGGCAAAUUACCACCCGUUCGUGUGGGUGCUAUGAGUUGAAGG